UUGGGUUUAAAGGGUGCGCAGGCGGCUUGGUAAGUUAUAGGUGAAAUUUCGGUGCUUAACAUCGAAACUGCCUGUGAUACUGCCGAGCUAGAGACCAGUUGCAGAAGGCGGAAUGUGUAGUGUAGCGGUGAAAUGCUUAGAUAUUACACAGAACACCGAUUGCGAAGGCAGCUUUCUAAGCUGGAUCUGACGCUGAGGCACGAAAGCGUGGGGAGCGAACAGGAUUAGAUACCCUGGUAGUCCACGCCGUAAACGAUGAUAACUCGUUGUCGGCGAUAUAAUGUCGGUGACUAAGCGAAAGCGAUAAGUUAUCCACCUGGGGAGUACGUUCGCAAGAAUGAAACUCAAAGGAAUUGACGGGGGCCCGCACAAGCGGAGGAACAUGUGGUUUAAUUCGAUGAUACGCGAGGAACCUUACCCGGGCUUGAAAGUUACUGACUGAUCUGGAAACAGGUCUUCCCUUCGGGGCAGGAAACUAGGUGCUGCAUGGUUGUCGUCAGCUCGUGCCGUGAGGUGUCGGGUUAAGUCCCAUAACGAGCGCAACCCCUAUCGUUAGUUGCCAUCAGGUCAUGCUGGGGACUCUAGCGAGACUGCCGGUGUAAGCCGAGAGGAAGGUGGGGAUGACGUCAAAUCAGCACGGCCCUUACGUCCGGGGCGACACACGUGUUACAAUGGUCGGUACAGAGGGUCGCUACCCAGUGAUGGGAUGCUAAUCUCGAAAGCCGAUCUCAGUUCGGAUUGCAGGCUGAAACUCGCCUGCAUGAAGUUGGAUUCGCUAGUAAUCGCGCAUCAGCCAUGGCGCGGUGAAUACGUUCCCGGGCCUUGUACACACCGCCCGUCAAGCCAUGGAAGUUGGGGGUGCCUGAAGUACGUGACCGCAAGGAGCGUCCUAGGGCAAAACCGAUAACUAGGGCUAAGUCGUAACAAGGUAGCCGUACCGGAAGGUGCGGCUGGAACACCUCCUUU
rnacentral:rRNA from 1 species